rnacentral:rRNA from 1 species
UACGGGGGGGGCAAGCGUUGUUCGGAAUUACUGGGCGUAAAGGGCUCGUAGGCGGCCCACUAAGUCCGACGUGAAAUCCCCAGGCUUAACUUGGGAACUGCGUCGGAUACUGGUGGGCUUGAAUCCGGGAGAGGGAUGCGGAAUUCCAGGUGUAGCGGUGAAAUGCGUAGAUAUCGGGAGGAACACCUGUGGCGAAAGCGGCUCACUGGACCACAACUGACGCUGAUGCACGAAAGCUAGGGGAGCAAACAGG